CCCUGAGGGACCAACACAAUGUAAGGAGCUGGACCUUGUGCACUCUUGCUCCUCUCUUGCUGCCUCCUUAUCUAACUUCUGCUCAGUCACCUCUGCAUUCUACCUGUAGAAAAGUGACUCAACAUCAUUCCAGAAGUCCGGAAUUCUACAAGAAUCAUAUUAGAAAGAGCCACUGUACUUGAAAGAAAGCAAUCAUCUCUGAGAGCUCUUCAAUUACAACGAAAUUGUCAGCUAGAUAGAAGGAAUUAAUACUAGUGUUUGAUACCACCUUACGAUGACUAUAGAAAAGUAUCCACUGAAAAUAUGACAAGAAAGAAAGAAAAUUGAAAACAUCUGCUGCUUAUGUGAGGUCAACUAUUUAAUGAAUUCUACAUCACCCAGAGAGACUUUCAGGGGGUAUAAAU
rnacentral:lncRNA from 1 species